rnacentral:rRNA from 1 species
UUUCUUCGGAAUGAAAUUAAGUGGAUUAGUGGCGAACGGGUGAGUAACACGUGAGUAACCUGCCUUACACAAGGGGAUAGCCUUUGGAAACGAAGAAUAAUACCCUAUAAAGUCAAUUUAUCGCAUGAUGAAAUGACCAAAGAUUUAUCGGUGUAAGAUGGACUUGCGUCUGAUUAGCUAGUUGGUGAGAUAAAAGCCCACCAAGGCGACGAUCAGUAGCCGGCUUGAGAGAGUGUACGGCCACAUUGGGACUGAGACACGGCCCAAACUCCUACGGGAGGCAGCAGUGGGGAAUUUUGCACAAUGGGGGAAACCCUGAUGCAGCGACGCCGCGUGAUUUAGAAGGCCUUCGGGUUGUAAAAAUCUUUUUUAUGGGAUGAAAAUGACAGUACCAUAAGAAUAAGGUCCGGCUAAAUACGUGCCAGCAGCCGCGGUAAUACGUAUGGACCGAGCGUUGUCCGGAAUCAUUGGGCGUAAAGGGUACGUAGGCGGCCUAGUAAGUUAGAAGUGAAAUAAUAUAGCUCAACUAUAUAAAGCUUUUAAAACUGUUAGGCUUGAGAGAUGAAAGGGAAAGUGGAAUUCCUAGUGUAGCGGUGAAAUGC